rnacentral:lncRNA from 1 species
CCUGCUCCUAGAACCCGCCCCCAAGGAGGCAGGUGGGGCCUCGGGAAGCCCCCACCCCUCGGACUGGGCAAUAGACGUCCGUUCUAAUGGCGCUGUGGCCAGAGACCCGACGGUGGGUCCCUGUUAGCAGCCCUCCCCCCGGGUCACAAAGCUUCUGUGGAAGAUGCUGAAGAGUACACUGUGUGAUUCUGGCCCCGCUCCCUCUCUCCAGCCCCCGUAGGAAAUCGCUUUCUUCUUGCUGGCAGUCUCCCGGGUCUGAAGUGGACUGGCAAGCUCCUUAGUGCAGGUGUUAGCUUAGCCCUCCCCCCGCCCGGGCUCCUACCACCAGCUGUCACCGCCACUGGGGAGCAUCUGCCUCACCUUUCCCUGGAGUGCAGCUGCGUUCACACAGCAGGCUCCCAGGACGGGAAGAGGAGGCGCCCCCACGAAGCUGCUGGCCCCUGGGAAGAGGCUCAUCCGUUUCUCCUUUCCCUCUCCCGGGAACAGUGGGCCUCAGUCCAGUGCCCUCAGAACCCACUUUGAGCUGCGCGACAGUAACGCCCUGGGAGGCAGGAAUCCCCUGGCCUUCCUGCAGCAUAGGGGGGGGGGGGGGGGAGACAGAGUAGUUCCCAGAAGACAAGCUUGCUGCAGCCACGGCUACCUGCUCUCCUACCCCAUUUGCCAGUUUUGCUGCCAUCUUUUAGAUCACUACCAUCUCCUGGCACUUAGAAGCAAAGCCAGGAUUAGGGUAAGAUAGGACUGGAAACAAAAACAACACUGCCCUUCUCAUCGCCAGCCAUGGAGGUUGUCCUUCAGGAACUGGAGUUCAAAGAAUUGGGUCGAAAGCAACCUCUGAGGUCAUGUAAUGCCACCUGUGCCAAGGCAAGAACACUUUCAGCAGCAUCCCCAGCAAGCCUUUUGGCCUCCACUCAAGGACCCAUCUCCAAUGGAAGGAGAUGCCCAUUCUCCUUUGACACAGUUAAUUAGUAGGAAAUUCUGCUUCCAUUGAACCUAAAUCUGCCCUCCUGCAGUUUCUGCCCAUGGCUCCUUGUUAUGCCAUCUGAGGCUAUACCCAUGGAAGCGAAGAAUUCUAUCAAGUCCUUCUCCUGAGCCUUCCAUUCUCCAGUUACACUUGCCCAGUCCCAUAUAGAGUCUUCACCCCUCCGGCCAUCCAUCCCUAUGAUCAACGUUCUCAAUUUCAACAUCUCAACAUGCUCCAUUUCAUUGAUGGUCAAUCCCACCACCCCCUUAAAUGGUGUGUCCACACCUUCCCCUUCCUAAAAGGUGUUUGUUUGUCCUAUCCUACCACCAUGGGGAAUUUGGGGAAAGAUUGAUUAAAAACAGAAAACAACAAAAAUAUCAGUUCUCCAGCU